AUUGAACGCUGGCGGCAUGCUUUACACAUGCAAGUCGAACGGCAGCGCGGGCUUCGGCCUGGCGGCGCGUGGCGAACGGGUGAGUAAUACAUCGGAACGUGCCCAGUAGUGGGGGAUAGCUCGGCGAAAGCCGGAUUAAUACCGCAUACGACCUGAGGGUGAAAGCGGGGGAUCUUCGGACCUCGCGCUAUUGGAGCGGCCGAUGGCAGAUUAGCUAGUUGGUGGGGUAAAGGCCUACCAAGGCGACGAUCUGUAGCUGGUCUGAGAGGACGACCAGCCACACUGGGACUGAGACACGGCCCAGACUCCUACGGGAGGCAGCAGUGGGGAAUUUUGGACAAUGGGCGAAAGCCUGAUCCAGCAAUGCCGCGUGUGGGAUGAAGGCCUUCGGGUUGUAAAGCACUUUUGGCGGGAACGAAAAGGACUGUGCCAAUACCACGGUUCGAUGACGGUACCCGCAGAAUAAGCACCGGCUAACUACGUG
rnacentral:rRNA from 1 species